AGAGUUUGAUCAUGGCUCAGGAUGAACGCUAGCUACAGGCUUAACACAUGCAAGUCGAGGGGAAACGAUAGAGAAAGCUUGCUUUUUCUAGGCGUCGACCGGCGCACGGGUGAGUAACGCGUAUCCAACCUGCCCACCACUUGGGGAUAACCUUGCGAAAGUAAGACUAAUACCCAAUGACGUCUCUAGAAGACAUCUGAAAGGGAUUAAAGAUUUAUCGGUGAUGGAUGGGGAUGCGUCUGAUUAGCUUGUUGGCGGGGUAACGGCCCACCAAGGCUACGAUCAGUAGGGGUUCUGAGAGGAAGGUCCCCCACAUUGGAACUGAGACACGGUCCAAACUCCUACGGGAGGCAGCAGUGAGGAAUAUUGGUCAAUGGACGAGAGUCUGAACCAGCCAAGUAGCGUGCAGGAUGACGGCCCUAUGGGUUGUAAACUGCUUUUAUAAGGGAAUAAAGUGAGCCUCGUGAGGCUUUUUGCAUGUACCUUAUGAAUAAGGACCGGCUAAUUCCGUGCCAGCAGCCGCGGUAAUACGGAAGGUCCGGGCGUUAUCCGGAUUUAUUGGGUUUAAAGGGAGCGUAGGCCGGAGAUUAAGCGUGUUGUGAAAUGUAGAUGCUCAACAUCUGCACUGCAGCGCGAACUGGUUUCCUUGAGUACGCACAAAGUGGGCGGAAUUCGUGGUGUAGCGGUGAAAUGCUUAGAUAUCACGAAGAACUCCGAUUGCGAAGGCAGCUCACUGGAGCGCAACUGACGCUGAAGCUCGAAAGUGCGGGUAUCGAACAGGAUUAGAUACCCUGGUAGUCCGCACGGUAAACGAUGGAUGCCCGCUGUUGGUCUGAAUAGGUCAGCGGCCAAGCGAAAGCAUUAAGCAUCCCACCUGGGGA
rnacentral:rRNA from 1 species